rnacentral:tRNA from 2 species
CGGGGUAUAGCGCAGUUUGGUAGCGCACUUGUCUGGGGGACAAGGGGUCACAGGUUCAAAUCCUGUUACUCCGACCA